UGAGCGCUUAUUUAAUUAAUUUUCCUUUCGGACAACCGUGUGAAGCGCCGGUGUCUCCAACGCACGCAACGAAGCGAAGAGUCGACACCAACCAUCCAAUCGAACGAGCCACCAGCUAGCUAGCCCAGUCCUCACUCACUCAGCUCACCCAGCUCUCUCUUCUCGAAUUGUCCACGCCCCUCCCAACACCACCAUCUCUUGUCAGAUCCAGCGAGCCGGACAAGACCUCCGGGCCGAUUUCCCCCAUCCUCAGAUGCCGUCCACGGCGAACGGCGGUGCGCGGGCGGAUGAGGCAGCAGCCCGCAUCUUCCUCCAUGGAGAUGGGUCGGGGGAGCUGGCGGCGAGGCCGGCGGAUAGGAAGAGGGCGGUGCGCGAGCGGACAAGUCAGCAACGCGCCUUCCCACAUGGGGACGAAGCUGGAGGAGCUCGUGGCGAGUCUGGCGAACCUGAAGGUGGGAGGAGGCAGCGGCGCACGAAUGCGAGGCGUACAGGAUGAGCAAGCUCACUUGGCAUCUCAAUUAGGUAUGGCGUCGAGAUUACUAAUACAGAGGAGAAGAGAUGUCAAUGUCAAGUGAGAGUUCAUGAGGCGAUGGGUUAUCUUCAGAGCUACAGCUUGGAUCCGUACGUGGUCCUUACUCACUCCUAUGGACUCCAGGGAGCCUUUGGUUACUGGGUGCAACCAAUGGGAGAUGGUGGCUCGGGUUAUAUUCAACCGGUUCGGAUGGCGUUCACAUAACAGGAUAGGAGUCUAGGGAGCUUGUCCUUAUUAUUACCGUAUCAGUUGUCUCUAUCCACGUGUUUUUCAGUUUUGUGCUAUGUUUUGCUCCGUUUGCGAGCUGUAAGACAUUUUUGAUGAUACUUCCUGGAUUUUUAAUAAAAGGGCCGCAUGCAUCAUCAUGAUGCAGAGGCCGGGGGUAUACCUCCAUUUCCAAAAAAAAAGUGAGAGUUCAUGCAGAGGAGCAGCAAAAGCAUGUCACAUAUUUUUCAGCAACAGUAUGGGCGUCAAGAAGAGAGAGAGAUGGAUGAAACCAAUCAGUAGAUGAGGUAGAUUCUCUCCCGUGCUCGGCCACCAAUGCGCUGUGGAGAAGUGGGGCAACACUUAUGGUACUGUUAUUUUUAAUUGCAACAUCAUUUUUGCUCAUAUGUUAUGCAUUUUUUUCUCCUACAGUCCUACAGGUGAUCAAGACGCAUAUAAUUAAAAAGGAGAUGACAGGGCUGAAAAUGUAAGAAUUGAAGCAAUAUAUCCCCUUUCUUGUAUCUACUUUUCUCUUUUGAAAUAUCACCAUGGUAUGCAGUAUUUUCCUUGUAAAUAUCACAAUGAUGCUGCGACCCGAAGUUAUCAUCAAGAAGCUUAAUCUUAGACGUGUCUUAAUUUUGUACUUUAAAGGCUUAUUAUUUGAAGUGCGCAAAUCCUGAGUUUUUUUGGUUUGGUCUGCAUUAGCUAGCUUAACUGUUUCAGAUGUUUUCCAUAGUACCAAGCUUCUAUAGUUAUAAGUGUUAGUUAUUCAUAAGCAUAUAUAGUAUAAUAUGAUACUGUCAAACUUUAGUUUACACUAACUUGUAAGCUAUAGCACCUAAGUUGUUUCUUGGUGAAUCAUCAGCAAGUUUCUUUGAUUAUCUAACACCAGUGCUGAAAUGCCUUGACUACCAUUGGUUUAGCUUAGUUCAAAUACUGUUGAUAAUCUUCAAGUUAUCAUGGGUCAUGGACACCUUUUAUCGAGUUCAACUUUGGACACAUUAACUCCAUGUAGAAGUACAAACUCAUUGCAUUCGCUUGUCUUUCCCCCUUUUCAUCAUAUGCUUGUACUGACAAAAAGAAUCACUGUUGGUGACAAUAUUUACCUCUGCAACUCUGGUAUUCUACUCCUUUAUUUUCCUUAUACAUUGCCAGUCGGUAUGUACCGAGUCUAUCCACCCUACAGGUUUCUGUAGUUCAAGAUCAAAGGCAAGAAUCUGCCAAAUAUGAUGAUGAGAACAAGGCUAACGAUGGAGAACCCUCUUCUACGAAAACUCAGCAAUCUUUUGGGAGAACUAAUAUCGAUGAUAUACUUACAGAUAAAUCCCAGGUAAAAUUGGACUUAGUUAGCUUUAAUGUCGAACCAUCCACAUCAACUUUACUCCUAAUUGUGAUAGCUUAGUGGGAGUUUAAUAUCUGAUCACUUGCCAUUCCGAAUGACUCAUUAUGCAUCAGGCUAGUUGGCAAUAUGAAAUUUACUUCUUAAAAUAUGUGAACACUUUACAAUCUUGGGAUCGUAGCAUAUAAAAUGACUUUUGUGACUAUAUUACAUGGUUCUAAUCACCUAAGUACACAAGUACGCACUUCAUCAGCAUAUAAAACAACUUUUGUGACUAUUCAUUGGUUCAAACCGCCUAAUUAUGCAAGCUCGUACUUGAUCCAACUUUUGGUAAAUUGGAAGGAGAUAAAAUCAAUUUCCACUCGACGCCGCCCCAUAACAGGGGAUGUCCAUGGAAGCACAUAGGGGCAGACUUAGACAGGAAAGUAUUGGUCCCCUCGGCUGGAUUGGCAGACACGAUUCGACCUAUUUGAUAACGCUCCACCCGUGGCUUCCAAAACUUCGCUCUCUGCCAUGUGAAGCUUCCUGGAAAAUCCUUUUCCGUUGCUUAGCUCUUCUUGUAUGCUUUAGUAGUUUGUACAAAUACUAAAUUCCAUAUAUUGGAAGUUAUGUACAGUCUCAAUACACUAUAUUGCAGGUCUAAUGUCUGGGAGAUUAAACAAGUUGUAUGAAUUUCUCAAUUCCAGUUUCUCUAUGUUUACCCAAUGCCAAAGGUAACCAAUAUUAGUUCUGGGUGCGUGAAAACAGUUUGCCGUAGACAUUAUUAGAGAACCAUCGCUUGAUAGGCAGUAACCAGUAAAUAACUUACGGUGACAGUACAAUACAUAUAUGUACAGGUAUGCUCUUAUUAUUGCUCAUCACAUUCGAUAUCCAAUGUGGAGUUUAUUGUAAUUUUGGUUGUCGUCUCAUAAGUAGAGGCAAUUUGUGACCACAAUCUUCAAUUGCCUUACCCCACCAACAAAAAUCAUGAUAGCUACAAUAUAUCUGUUUGUGCAUUUUGGAUUUGUUUCUCUGUGGCUGCAUCAUCAUACCUUUUUCCUUACAAGUAAAGAUGAAUCUAAAACUUUAAAUGUGAAAACAUCUUAUAAUCGUCAACAUUUACUUGAUUGAUGUAAAAAUAACAGGUCAGUUUACUGCUAACCGAAGAGCGUCAAUUAUUCCUUAUGUUUAAUACUCACCUGAAAUCGGAUGGGAAGGUCGUUGAACAUUUGUGCUAUCACCAUCAGUGGGUUGGGGAAGAACCUGAUCUUUGGUCUGUUCAAGUAUCAUCCGUUCUUAAGGUUGUUCAUACAAGUAAGUGAGGUAUAAUUGAUCACAUAAAAAGCAUAAAAUUAUGAUUACUAUAUCCGAACAGACUCAUACCAGGACUACUUGGGUAAAUCUCAUCAAUAUCGUGAGCUACGGGCUGAAGGUUAUAGUCGUCAACAUUUGUCCCCUCCAUCUGAUCUGCAACAACUUCAGUACUCACAAUCUCAUUAUGCGCAAGGGAUGGUGCUUCACAUGUAUAGCAAGUUUUAUAGACGAACAUAUACCUGCAGGUACAUCUGACGAUAUCAUUUGUUCCGCUGCUUUGCUUUGUGGAUUCCCCAUAUGUACCUAUCAAUCGAUAGCCAAAAAAUUCUUACUGAUGGUUUGUGAACUGAUUUUGCAAACAGAUAAGUACAAAUUGCUAAUGGCCGCUGAAGAUGACAAACACCUGUUGUGUGUAAGUUUGAGCUCUACUCUGGAAUCGCUUUGAUCAACAAUCAAUUAGCAGCCUUUGUGUGUAAGUUUGUGCCACUUGUCUCUUUUUAAUGCAGGUUGCUAUUCCACAGAUCGUGCCAAGGUACUUGAAGAUAGCUAAUGGUUUAUUAGGUCCAUUACUAAAGCUUGUAUUUGUAUUUGUAUCUUCUAUAGUUGUAUGCAUGAUAACCGUACACAAACAGUUUGUAAUGACGCGUGAUGCAUGAUGACCGUACACAAUCACGUGUGGGCACCAGAUGAGAUUUACUGUAGUUGGCAAUGAGAUUAUUUGGCAGCCAGA